GAAUCUGCCUGGUAGUGGGGGAUAACGUUCGGACCCUGACGCUAAUACCGCAUACGUCCUACGGGAGAAAGCAGGGGACCUUCGGGCCUUGCGCUAUCAGAUGAGCCUAGGUCCGAUUAGCUAGUUGGUGAGGUAAUGGCUCACCAAGGCGACGAUCCGUAACUGGUCUGAGAGGAUGAUCAGUCACACUGGAACUGAGACACGGUCCAGACUCCUACGGGAGGCAGCAGUGGGGAAUAUUGGACAAUGGGCGAAAGCCUGAUCCAGCCAUGCCGCGUGUGUGAAGAAGGUCUUCGGAUUGUAAAGCACUUUAAGUUGGGAGGAAGGGUUGUAGAUUAAUACUCUGCAAUUUUGACGUUACCGACAGAAUAAGCACCGGCUAACUCUGUGCCAGCAGCCGCGGUAAUACAGAGGGUGCAAGCGUUAAUCGGAAUUACUGGGCGUAAAGCGCGCGUAGGUGGUUUGUUAAGUUGGAUGUGAAAUCCCCGGGCUCAACCUGGGAACUGCAUUCAAAACUGACUGACUAGAGUAUGGUAGAGGGUGGUGGAAUUUCCUGUGUAGCGGUGAAAUGCGUAGAUAUAGGAAGGAACACCAGUGGCGAAGGCGACCACCUGGACUAAUACUGACACUGAGGUGCGAAAGCGUGGGGAGCAAACAGGAUUAGAUACCCUGGUAGUCC
rnacentral:rRNA from 1 species